rnacentral:rRNA from 1 species
AAACACGGAGAAUCACCUUCCGGUAAGUCUACUAUGUUUCGACUUACCCUAGGGAUGACCCAGGGGUGACGGGCAAUUUGUACAAGGNAAAGUUCAUUUUUCAUAAGGUUAUUAUAAAACCUAAUUACUCUCAAGUUCACAUCAAAGUGAAAAUUUCAUUGCACUUUUUCUUCAAUUGCCAGAUUGCAAUACACUACAUCCUCAACCAUUACCUGCACUUAUACCUGACAUUUUAGCUUGAACCAACAUAUUGCCUCUAUUUAUAUGUUAUUUUUUCAGUAUCCGGAAAACCUCCUAGGGAGCUUCGAGCUAUCUCAGAAAUUUACGUUACUUUUAUCUUCAUCGGUGGUGGGCAAAGUGUGAUUUUUCACAUAUCAUACAAAGUUGAGUAGGGUUCCUUGUGGAACAUCAAUUUAACAAGCAUAUUUCCCUGAACUGAAAUUCCAACUGCCAUAAGAUUUAGAUUUCUAUCAAAUGGAUAUACUUUCCUCGCCAAGGCUCUGUCCGUAAUAACAGGGUAUCUAAUCCUGGUCUAUAACCGGUUUAACUUCAAUCGAUAUUUUUUAUUUACCUAUCUAAUUUCUCUGGAUUAAACCUCUAAAUUACACAUUUUUAAUUAAUACUCUUAAGAUCAGCUUUUUUAAAGAUAAACUUUAUCUUCAUGUUUGACCGCAGGUGCUGGCACAUGAUUAUCUAGAUCUCUUAACUUAAACUCUAAAUUUUGAAUUUUUAGAAGCUCAUUCUCUACAAUCUUCUCAUAUGAGGUUUUAAGCUAACGCUUAUCAAUGGGCAAAAAUUAACCCUUAAAUAUAUUUUCCUAAUCAUAGUCAGCCGAAGGUCCUUUCGUACUAUCCAGCUAAUUUAAAGUGGAGAUAGAAACUGACCUGACUCACGUCGGUCUGAACUCAAAUCAUGUAAGAUUUUAAUAGUCGAACAGACUAACACUCCUAAUCUUAUUCUUUUAGGUGGAAUCUUAAUUCAACAUCGAGGUCGCAAACAUAAAUUUAGAUAUGAUCUCCAAAUUUUUUAUAACGCUGUUAUCCCUAAGGUAACUUUUUUCUUAAUCCCUAACGGGGAUCAUCUUUUCCCUUAUCUAGGGUAAUUCGGAGAAAAGUUCUUUUUAUUUUCUCAUUGCCCCAACGAAACUUGUUAAUUAAUCUUAUUAAAUUAGA